AGAGUUUGAUCCUGGCUCAGGAUGAACGCUAGCGACAGGCCUAACACAUGCAAGUCGAGGGGUAGCAUGAAGUAGCAAUACUUUGAUGACGACCGGCGCACGGGUGAGUAACACGUAUGCAACCUACCUUCUACAGGGGAAUAGCCCGGAGAAAUUCGGAUUAAUACCCCAUAACGCAGGGAUACCGCAUGGUAAUAUUUGCUAAAGAUUAAUCGGUAGAAGAUGGGCAUGCGUUCCAUUAGCCAGUUGGUGAGGUAACGGCUCACCAAAGCAACGAUGGAUAGGGGAACUGAGAGGUUUAUCCCCCACACUGGAACUGAGACACGGUCCAGACUCCUACGGGAGGCAGCAGUGAGGAAUAUUGGUCAAUGGACGAGAGUCUGAACCAGCCAAGUCGCGUGAAGGAUGACGGCCCUACGGGUUGUAAACUUCUUUUGUAUGGGAGUAAAAAGAAGGACGUGUCCUUUAUUGCAAGUACCAUACGAAUAAGCAUCGGCUAACUCCGUGCCAGCAGCCGCGGUAAUACGGAGGAUGCAAGCGUUAUCCGGAUUUAUUGGGUUUAAAGGGUGCGUAGGCGGGAUAAUAAGUCAGCGGUG
rnacentral:rRNA from 1 species